UAACACAAUGGUCUACAAAACGUCUAAC
rnacentral:sRNA from 1 species